GGCCGCGAAGGCGACGAAUACAACACCCGCUUUGGCGGGGAAUAAGUCCGCCCUUUUCCUAUUGCAAGGGUUACGAACUUCGCGGCCGCCCGUUU
rnacentral:ncRNA from 1 species